rnacentral:rRNA from 1 species
UACGUAGGGGGCUAGCGUUGUCCGGAUUUAUUGGGCGUAAAGAGCGUGUAGGCGGCCAGGUAGGUCUGGUGUGAAAACUCGAGGCUUAACCUCGAGAUGUCAUCGGAAACCAUCUGGCUAGAGUCCGGAAGAGGAGAGUGGAAUUCCUGGUGUAGCGGUGAAAUGCGCAGAUAUCAGGAAGAACACCAAUGGCGAAAGCAGCUCUCUGGGCCGGAACUGACGCUGAGGAGCGAAAGCGUGGGUAGCAAACAGG